rnacentral:rRNA from 1 species
UACAGAGGUCUCAAGCGUUGUUCGGAUUCAUUGGGCGUAAAGGUUGCGUAGGCGGCGCGGUAAGUCGGGUGUGAAAUCUCGGAGCUUAACUCCGAAACUGCAUUCGAUACUGCCGUGCUUGAGGACUGGAGAGGAGACUGGAAUUUACGGUGUAGCGGUGAAAUGCGUAGAUAUCGUAAGGAAGACCAGUGGCGAAGGCGGGUCUCUGGACAGUUCCUGACGCUGAGGCACGAAGGCCAGGGGAGCAAACGGG